UCCAAAAAUUCACAUUUGCUGGUUUAAAUUGAUGUGACUUUAUUUUUUUGGCUAGCACUCUGCAGUGUUCCACUGAGCGGUAAUUAUUCCUUUGGUGUUGCAGGAGUUUGCUGAGAGAAGGGAACUAAAUCUAAAAGAGUGAAUCCAUCUGGUGCAUAUGUUGAAGAUUUCUCUGAGGCCACUGACACUGAAAUGUUAAUGCUAGAAUUUCUUAUCUAUUGGUAUCAUUUAGGUAUUGAUAAAAUGUGAUUUAAUGCCCUAGGUCAUUGAAUCAAAGGCUGAAUUCCAUUCCUUUACAUGGCACUGGAUGCCCCACACGAUGGAGGACCUUUCUGGCAGAGCACAAUGAUUUUAUCCUUGCCCUUCUGGCAAAUGGACUUGAAUUGCUCCUGCUUCUGGCAGCUGGCAGCUGGAAGCUGGUUUUACUUCAAGGUCCUUGGGAAGGCCAGACAAGUGCCAUUACACAAAUCACUGGUGACGGCUGUCAGCCCGCUGGCCCUCUCUCCACACUUAUCUCUACCCCUGCCUCCCAUCCCUUUCCACAGAGGCUUGCAGGUGGCAUUUUUCUUCCAGGACAACAGACUUGUGGGUGAAAAUUAUGUCUAAAGGUACAAAUCAGCAAACUCUGGUGACGUAUAAGUAGGGUAGCGUUUGACCUAUGCAAUAAAUAGCACUCUAUCAUUUGUAUAUUACCCACAGUGUAUCUAAUUAAAAGUUCUUAAUCACGGCACGCCUGGGUGGCUCAGUGGGUUGAAACCUAUGCCUUUGGUUCAGGUCAUGAUCCCGGGGUCCUGGGCUCGAGCCCCGCAUUGGGCUCUGCUCAGCAGGGAGCCUGCUUCCUCCUCUCUCUCUCUGACUGCCUCUCUGCCUGCUUGUGAUCUCUGUCUGUC
rnacentral:lncRNA from 1 species